AUUCUGGUGGCCUAGUGGUUAGAGUGUCCACCUCAGAUGCAGAAGGUCGUGGGCUCAAUUCCCCGUAGAGUC